GUCUUCAGUUCUUCAAAUUGCUCAGUUGGUAGAGCAUGAGACUUUUAAUCUCAGGGUUGUGGGUUUGAGCCCCAUGUUAGGCA
rnacentral:tRNA from 1 species